rnacentral:rRNA from 1 species
AUAUAUAUCAAUCCUAUAUCAGUCACUAUUACAUACACAUGUAUACGUAGUUGAUAUAUAUUAUUUAUUCAAUUUUUCUAAAAAAAUUAAAAAAAAUAACAUUUUCAUGUAAUUAUAUAUAACAUUUUAAAUAAGCUAUAUUUAGACAAAUAUUUGAUAAAAAAUUAUAUUAUACAAUAAUAUUUUUAACAAAAAUAGUUAGUUAAGUAUUGAAUAUAAUAAUCUAAUUAUUUAUCAAGUAAUAUAAAAUAAAAUUUAAUUAUUUUAUAUUUUUAUACUGUAGUUUAAAAUAUCAUCAUAAGAAACAUAUCGUGAAUAUCUAUGAAAUAGUUUUUUUGUUUCUUUCUCUUGUUUGCGACAAGUUACAAAUCUAGAGAAUCCAUAUUUUACAGUGAAAAUAGUUGAGAUGAAGUUGUUAAUAAUAGAUUGUCGAGAGAAAUAGGUAAAAGAAAUUUCCACCCAAGAUUUAAUAAUUGAUCUAUUCCUAGCAUAUCGACUCCUACAAUGUUGUACCUAACGCAUUAAGUAUCCCGCCUGGGGAGUACUUUCGCAAGAAUGAAACUCAAAUUGAUGGGGGCUCGCACAAGCGGUGUAGCAUGUGGUUUAAUUCGAUGCAAAGCGAAGAACCUUACCCGGGCCUGACAUGCCGUGAAUCCUCUUGAAAGAGAGGGAUGCCUUCGGGAACGCGGACACAGGUGGUGCAUGGCUGUCGUCAGCUCGUGCCGUAAGGUGUUGAGUUAAGUCCUGCAACGAGCGCAACCCUCCUGCUUAGUUGCUAACAUGAAGUUUUGAAUCCUAAGCAGACUGCCAAUGAUAAGCCGGAGAAAGGGGAGGAUGAUGUCAAGUCAUCAUGCCCCAUUAUGCCCCGGGUGACACACGUGCUAUAAUAGUCGGGACAAAGGAUCGUGAUCCCGCGAGCGUGAGCUAACUCUAAAAAUACGUCCUCAGUUCGAAUUGUAAGCUGUAACCCGCCUGUCGAGGCCAGAAUUGCUAGUAAUUGCCGGUCAGCCAUACGGCGGUGAAUUCGUUCCUGGGCCUUGUACACACCUCCCGUCACAUUAUGGGAGCUGGCCAUGUCCGAAUUUGUUACCUUCACCGUAAGGAGGGGGAUGCCAAAGGCAGGGCUAGUUACUGAAGUGAAGUUGUGAAUAUAUUUAA